AUGCGCAAUUAUGUCCGUUGCACAACUUGUUCGCCCAUUUUUCAUGUUUUUGCCCUGAUCAAUACCACCACCUCCUUCCAGCUGACAACUGUGUAUGGACCGACUCGAAGCAACCUGAAAGAAGGCUUUUUCCAAGAACUUGUAAAUCUGAAACUACAGCAGGGUACAAGAUGGCUGGUCACUGGGGACUUCAACCAAGUAUUCCACGCUAGGGACAAGAACCGCACAAAUGUUGACCGUAGCCGCAUCGUGCGCUUCCGAAACACUCUUAACACGUGUGAACUAAAAGAGAUCCAUCUUGAAAUUUACUUGGAGCAAUGAGCAGGUCAAUCCAACCUUGAGCAGCUAGAUAAUUUUUUCUGCAAUAAGGAUUGGGAUGUUGACUUUGGUUCACACAUUCUACAUGCUCUUUUGUCCUCGCUCUCAGAUCAUUGCCCACUUCUCCUGGCAUGUGAUAAGGGACCCAAACGGCCAAAAACUUUCCGUUUUGAAAACUUUUGGAUCAAUAUGCCUAACUUUAAGAAGACUGUCCAAGAUGCCUGGGGUGAAGAAAUGACGCACACUGAGCCCUACGUGCUUUUUCACAAGCUAAAAAGAACGAGCCAACGCCUACGGACCUGGAGCAAGGCUAUCUUCUCUAACCAUAAAGUCUAGCUACACAUGGCCCUCGAAAUCAUCCUCCGGCUUGAUGUUGCGCAAGAACAAAGAUAGCUCAGCCCGGGUGAA
rnacentral:rRNA from 1 species